CGGGUUGCAGCAGUGGGGAAUAUUGGACAAUGGGCGAAAGCCUGAUCCAGCAAUGCCGCGUGAGUGAUGAAGGCCUUAGGGUUGUAAAGCUCUUUUACCCGGGAUGAUAAUGACAGUACCGGGAGAAUAAGCUCCGGCUAACUCCGUGCCAGCAGCCGCGGUAAUACGGAGGGAGCUAGCGUUGUUCGGAAUUACUGGGCGUAAAGCGCACGUAGGCGGCUUUGUAAGUUAGAGGUGAAAGCCUGGAGCUCAACUCCAGAACUGCCUUUAAGACUGCAUCGCUUGAAUCCAGGAGAGGUGAGUGGAAUUCCGAGUGUAGAGGUGAAAUUCGUAGAUAUUCGGAAGAACACCAGUGGCGAAGGCGGCUCACUGGACUGGUAUUGACGCUGAGGUGCGAAAGCGUGGGGAGCAAACAGGAUUAGAUACCCGCGU
rnacentral:rRNA from 1 species